rnacentral:rRNA from 1 species
UACAGAGGUCUCAAGCGUUGUUCGGAUUCAUUGGGCGUAAAGCGCGUGUAGGCGGCCCGGUAAGUCCGCUGUGAAAGUCCAGGGCUCAACCCUGGGAUGCCGGUGGAUACUGUCGGGCUCGAGUCCGGAAGAGGCGAGUGGAAUUCCUGGUGUAGCGGUGAAAUGCGCAGAUAUCAGGAGGACACCAAUGGCGAAGGCAGACUCGCUGGGACGUGACUGACGCUGAGACGCGAAAGCGUGGGGAGCAAACGG